CAAUGCUUUCAGAGUUUGCAUGGACGUGAUCCAACUCAACUCAAAAUAGUAACAAAGGCUGACUCUAAACCUGUGACAGAGAUUCUCUGAAAGGGACCAAGAGUCAAGCCAAGAGCUAAUAAGCCUUUUCGGAUCUGAAGGAGACUGCCUGACUCUGACCCUGCUGUCCACAAAGGAUUAGAUCUGAAAUCCUUAAGGGAUACUGAAUCUGUGAGAGCCUUGAAUCAACCAACCCAUCCACCAACAAACACCUGUAAAGUUUCCACCACAGUGCAGGUACCCUGGGAACAAGGCUGGGGAGGACCCCUCCUUCAUGGACAGAAAAUGCACUCAGCAGGUGUAAUGGGUUACACCACCUGGCAGAGAGUGUGCUGGCUUUCCUUCCUGGAUGACUUGGUUUGAAAGUCACUAAGUGGAGGUCCAGCAAGACAGCGCCCCCCACGUCCGGGACUGUGGGUGCAGGGUGUCGGAGCCCAGGAAAGACGAGGGCAGCAAGUGGGUCACUUACAGAGAACAUGUGAUAAGUCAACAUCUUGAAGAAAAUGGGAGCCAGGCUUCACACUGUCAGAGAAGGAAGUUACG
rnacentral:lncRNA from 1 species